GCCGGUAAUGCCCGAUGGACGGGCGGCAGACUGUAAAUCUGUUGCUUUGGCGAGUAGGUUCGAUUCCUGCUACCGGCA
rnacentral:tRNA from 1 species